rnacentral:tRNA from 1 species
GCGGGGUUAGCUCAGCUGGGAGAGCAUCUGCCUUACAAGCAGAGGGUCGGCGGUUCGAGCCCGUCACUUCGCACCA